rnacentral:rRNA from 1 species
AAAAAAGCGUUAAAGCUUAAUAAUAAAUAAAUUCUAAUGCCACUAAUUAUCCCAAACCCCUAACCACUACUGUGUAACUCCAUACUACUAUGGAAGAUAAUAUGCUCGAACUAGUAACAAGAAAAUGAUUUUCUCCUAAGUGUGAGCAUAAGCCAUAUUGGACCAACCGCUGGCAAUUAACGCUAUAAAAUUAUUACAACAACAUCCCUAGAAAAACCUGUAAAUCCUUACGUUAACCUUACACUAGAACACUCCAGGAAAGAUUUAAAGAAGGGGAAGGAACUCGGCAAAUUUUCAGCCCCGCCUGUUUACCAAAAACAUCGCCUCUUGCCAAACAUAAGAGGUCCAGCCUGCCCAGUGAUUUAUUCAACGGCCACGGUACCCUGACCGUGCGAAGGUAGCAUAAUAACUUGUUCUUUAAAUGAGGACUUGCAUCAACGGCACCACGAGGGCUAUACUGUCUCCCCCCUCUAAUCAGUGAAACUGACCUCCCCGUGAAGAGGCGGGGAUAUUAAUAUAAGACGAGAAGACCCCAUGGAGCUUUAAACCCAACAGCCAACCCUAAAUGAUACCCUCAAAUAAUUCAUGGCCCCCUGCCUGUCGGUUUUAGGUUGGGAUGACCACGGAGUAAAAAGAAACCUCCGCGCCGAAUAAAGCCCUUAAUCAAAGAGCCACCCCUCUAAGAAUCAAUAUACUGACGCUAACUGACCCAAAAAUGAUCAACGAACCAAGUUACCCUGGGGAUAACAGCGCAAUUUAUCUUUAAAGCCCCUAUUGACAGAUGAGUUUACGACCUCGAUGUUGGAUCGGGGUAUCCAAGUGGUGCAGCCGCUACUAAAGGUUCGUUUGU